rnacentral:ncRNA from 1 species
CCAAAGGCGAUGACGGGGAGAGUAUUCUGCCAUAAUCGACGGCACAGAGAGCUGCGGACAGGUGAAAGCGCAGCGCGGCGAUUGCAGAGGAAGAACACCCCGGAGCCUCCGACCGAACGCAAUACGAAGCAUGCUUCGUAUCAGUAGGCUCGGACGCGUACCGCGCGUUACAGCGGUGCUUCGAUGAAGUCGAAGCAAAACGAGUGGACUUUUCAGUCUAUUUGGGUGGUACCGCGGAAGUCAGAGCCUUUCGUCCCAUAG